CAAGGUAACUCCAAUUGUUGAAGGCUAUGGAGGCUGGGCUUUUCGAAUGGAAAUUGUACCAUUGGAGUCGGCAUAUCCCGGAUUUGGAAAAUUAGUUGUUUUGGAGUCAACUGAUCAUAUUAAUUCCUGCAAGCCUUUGAGCCGAAGUGAUCCUUCUUAUAAAGAGACACUAGAAUUUUUGCAUAAAUUGAAAGCUCUUAGUAGAUGAAGAUAGCUGUACAUAAACAAGAACCGACAUAAUGGAGUUUUGACAUUCCUUUUCUCCACUCUCCACAUGCAAAUAGUGUAAGUAGUAGUAGGGACUGGAAGUAAUUGGCGCUUAGAUUAGUUAGGUAGAGCUCACUGGAAGUACCAAAUUCAUAGGUUAAGAGUUUACAGAUUACUUGUACAGCGAGAAUUUCUACUGGGCUGUACGUUAGAGGAGAGUAAACUACAGAAUGCUAACCAUUGAUUUCUUUGCUAACAGAUUGAUCAUUCUUGAGAGAAUGUUGUAAACACUUUGUUCUGUAAAUGUUGUAUCAUCCACUUGUUGUAUGUGCAUUUACCAAAAGCUAAAAGAUUACUAUCCUUUCUUUGA